CCGAUAGUGAACUAGUACCGUGAGGGAAAGGCGAAAAGAACCCCGGGAGGGGAGUGAAAUAGAUCCUGAAACCGUAUGCUUACAAAAAGUAGGAGCCCGCAAGGGUGACUGCGUACCUUUUGUAUAAUGGGUCAGCGACUUACAUUCAGUGGCAAGGUUAACCGAAUAGGGAAGCCGUAGAGAAAUCGAGUCCGAAUAGGGCGAAUUAGUCGCUGCUCCUAGUACGAGAGGACCGGAGUGGACACACCUCUGGUGUAUCGGUUGUCACGCCAGUGGCAUUGCCGAGUAGCUAUGUGUGGAAGAGAUAACCGCUGAAAGCAUCUAAGCGGGAAACUCGUUUCAAGAUGAGAUCUGCCGGGGCCUUGAGCCCCCUAAAGAGUCGUUCAAGACCAGGACGUUGAUAGGUCAGGUGUGGAAGCGUAGUAAUACGUUAAGCUAACUGAUACUAAUUGCUCGUGCGACUUGACCCUAUAACUUUG
rnacentral:rRNA from 1 species